rnacentral:rRNA from 1 species
AUUACAGGUACGGGCUCUGAGAGGAGAAGCCCGGAGAUGGGUACUGAGACAAGGACCCAGGCCCUAUGGGGCGCAGCAGGCGAGAAAACUUUGCAAUGUGCGAAAGCACGACAAGGUUAAUCCGAGUGAUUUCUGCUAAAGAAAUCUUUUGCAAGUCAUAAAACCACUAGUGAAUAAGGGGUGGGCAAGUUCUGGUGUCAGCCGCCGCGGUAAAACCAGCACCUCAAGUGGUCAGGAGGAUUAUUGGGCCUAAAGCAUCCGUAGCCUGUUCUAUAAGUUUGCGGUUAAAUCUAUACGCUCAACGUAUAGGCUGCCGUAAAUACUGUAGAACUAGGGAGUGGGAGAGGUAGACGGUACUUGGUAGGAAGGGGUAAAAUCCUUUGAUCUAUCGAUGACCACCUGUGGCGAAGGCGGUCUACCAGAACACGUUCGACGGUGAGGGAUGAAAGCUGGGGGAGCAAACCGGAUUAGAUACCCGGGUAGUCCCAGCUGUAAACGAUGCAGACUCGAUGAUGCAUUGGCAUAUAGCCAGUGCAGUGUCGCAGGGAAGCCGUUAAGUCUGCCGCCUGGGAAGUACGUACGCAAGUAUGAAACUUAAAGGAAUUGGCGGGGGAGCACCACAAGGGGUGAAGCCUGCGGUUCAAUUGGAGUCAACGCCAGAAAUCUUACCCGGAGAGACAGCAGAAUGAAGGUCAAGCUGAAGACUUUACCAGACAAGCUGAGAGGUGGUGCAUGGCCGUCGUCAGCUCGUGCCGUGAGAUGUCCUGUUAAGUCAGGUAACGAGCGAGAUCCCUACCACUAGUUGCUAUCAUUACUCUCAGGAGUAGUGGAGCGAAUUAGUGGGACCGCUGUAGUAAUAUGGAGGAAGGAAGGGGCCACGGCAGGUCAGUAUGCCCCGAAACUCU